GAAAUAUUGAAAUAUUAUUUGCAGGAUUGAGACCACAAUAGGAGGCAUAAAGUCCCUUGAUAAUUUUGAAAACAGAGACGUUAUAGUGAGGUCCACGUUAUAAUGGCAGUGGAGGAAAGUAGGAGAACAACGUUGCCAAUUAUCUGCCUUGCCACUGCCUUCUGAAGAGGAUAGCUUGGUCAAUUUUACCACCAACUUUGGUCAAUAUCUAUUGUUAGUUCCUAAAGGCUCUGGAAAUUGAUGAAAUGGAACAAAUUAUUUGGACAAGACACUAGAAAAAUUCUACUCGGUCGGUUUUGUAAUCAUACCUCAAGAUACUUGCGAGAUCUUCGUCUGCACUGCACUAGCAUUUCAGUCGUCGCCGCCGCACCACGAUCACUCGGCGGCAUCCACAUCUAGUGGUGGUGGAUCUACAUGCAAGGAGCAUGCGCACUACCACUGGAUGUGGAUGCUGGAUGAGUUGGGCAACCUCGGCCGCUCCAGUACCAACUGCCCGACCAGGUGUUGCUAACCAUAUUCGGCUACUUGCUGUCGGUUUCAGGGCAUCAGCUCUGGAUUGAGACCACAAUAGGAGGCAUAAAGUCCCUUGAUAAUUUUGAAAACAGAGACGUUAUAGUGAGGUCCACGUUAUAAUGGCAGUGGAGGAAAGUAGGAGAACAACGUUGCCAAUUAUCUGCCUUGCCACUGCCUUCUGAAGAGGAUAGCUUGGUCAAUUUUACCACCAACUUUGGUCAAUAUCUAUUGUUAGUUCCUAAAGGUAGUGGAGAAAAAUAGAAGAACAACAU